rnacentral:tRNA from 1 species
GGGGGUAUAGCUCAGUAGGAGAGCGCUUAUCUACCAGCAUGUGUAAGGCCCUGGGUUCUAUUCCCAGGACGCCCC